rnacentral:rRNA from 1 species
UGGGGAAUAUUGCACAAUGGGGGAAACCCUGAUGCAGCGACGCCGCGUGAAGGAAGAAGUAUCUCGGUAUGUAAACUUCUAUCAGCAGGGAAGACAAUGACGGUACCUGACUAAG